rnacentral:rRNA from 1 species
UACGUAGGGGGCUAGCGUUGUCCGGAAUCAUUGGGCGUAAAGCGCGCGCAGGCGGCUCGUCAAGCCUGACGUGAAAGCCCCCGGCUCAACCGGGGAGGGUCGUCGGGGACUGGCGGGCUUGAGGUCGGCAGGGGUUGGUGGAAUUCCCGGUGUAGUGGUGAAAUGCGUAGAGAUCGGGAGGAACACCGGUGGCGAAGGCGGCUUCCUGGACAACUACUGACGCUGAGACGCGAAAGCGUGGGGAGCAAACAGG